GACGAACGCUGGCGGCGUGCUUAACGCAUGCAAGUCGAACGGAAAGGCCCUGCUGUUGUGGGGUGCUCGAGUGGCGAACGGGUGAGUAACACGUGAGUAACCUGCCCUUGACUUUGGGAUAACUUCAGGAAACUGGGGCUAAUACCGGAUAGGAGCUCCUGCUGCAUGGAGGGGGUUGGAAAGUUUCGGCGGUUGGGGCUGGACUCGCGGCUUAUCAGCUUGUUGGUGGGGUAGUGGCUUACCAAGGCUUUGACGGGUAGCCGGCCUGAGAGGGUGACCGGCCACAUUGGGACUGAGAUACGGCCCAGACUCCUACGGGGGGCAGCAGUGGGGAAUAUUGCACAAUGGGCGGAAGCCUGAUGCAGCAACGCCGCGUGCGGGAUGACGGCCUUCGGGUUGUAAACCGCUUUCGCCUGUGACGAAGCGUGAGUGACGGUAAUGGGUAAAGAAGCACCGGCUAACUACGUG
rnacentral:rRNA from 1 species